CCUACGGGUGGCUGCAGUGGGGAAUAUUGGACAAUGGGCGAAAGCCUGAUCCAGCCAUGCCGCGUGUGUGAAGAAGGCCUUCGGGUUGUAAAGCACUUUCAGUGGGGAAGAAAGCCUUGGGGCUAAUACCCUCGAGGAAGGACAUCACCCACAGAAGAAGCACCGGCUAACUCCGUGCCAGCAGCCGCGGUAAUACGGAGGGUGCGAGCGUUAAUCGGAAUUACUGGGCGUAAAGCGCGCGUAGGCGGUCUGAUAAGCCGGUUGUGAAAGCCCCGGGCUCAACCUGGGAACGGCAUCCGGAACUGUCAGGCUAGAGUGCAGGAGAGGAAGGUAGAAUUCCCGGUGGAGAGGUGAAAUGCGUAGAGAUCGGGAGGAAUACCAGUGGCGAAGGCGGCCUUCUGGACUAACACUGACGCUGAGGUGCGAAAGCGUGGGUAGCAAACAGGAUUAGAUACCCGGGUAGUC
rnacentral:rRNA from 1 species